AGUGAACGCUGGCGGUAGGCCUAACACAUGCAAGUCGAACGGCAGCACAGUAAGAGCUUGCUCUUACGGGUGGCGAGUGGCGGACGGGUGAGGAAUACAUCGGAAUCUACUUUUUCGUGGGGGAUAACGUAGGGAAACUUACGCUAAUACCGCAUACGACCUACGGGUUAAAGCAGGGGAUCUUCGGACCUUGCGCGAUUGAAUGAGCCGAUGUCGGAUUAGCUAGUUGGCGGGGUAAAGGCCCACCAAGGCGACGAUCCGUAGCUGGUCUGAGAGGAUGAUCAGCCCCACUGGAACUGAGACACGGUCCAGACUCCUACGGGAGGCAGCAGUGGGGAAUAUUGGACAAUGUGCGCAAGCCUGAUCCAGCCAUACCGCGUGGGUGAAGAAGGCCUUCGGGUUGUAAAGCCCUUUUGUUGGGAAAGAAAAGCAGCGGGUUAAUACCCCGCUGUUCUGACGGUACCCAAAGAAUAAGCACCGGCUAACUUCGUG
rnacentral:rRNA from 1 species